rnacentral:pre_miRNA from 1 species
ACCUUGGGUCUCAGCCAAAACCCAUUUAAGUCAAAAGGAGUCUUUCUGUUGACUUAAAUGGGCUUUGGAUCAGACCCAUUGUUGU